rnacentral:rRNA from 1 species
GGGGGGGGGGGGGGGGGGGGGGGGGGGGGGGGGGGGGGGGGGGGGGGGGGGGGGGGGGCUGCUGGGGUGUUGGCGGGGGACGGGUGGGUAGCACGGGGAUGACCUGCCUAUGGGACGGGGCUAGCGUCGGGGACCCGUGGCGCAUACCGGCGAAGAUUUUGAACCGCAUGGUGCCAACGGGAACGACGGGCUUGCGCGCACUUCUGACUGGACCCGCGCUGCCUUCUCUAGUUGGUCAGGUAACGGCUUACCACGGCCACGAUGCAUAGCCGACCGGAAAGGGUGAUCGGGCACACUGGAACUGAGACACGGUCCAGACUCCUACGGGAGGCAGAAGUAGGGAAGCUUCCGCAAUGGGCGAAAGCCUGACGGAGCAACGCCGCGUGAGUGAUGAAGGUCUUCGGAUCGUAAAACUCUGUGAGUAGGGAAGAACAUAUGUGUAAGUAACUGUGCACAUCUUGACGGUACCUAAUCAGAAAGCCACGGCUAACUACGUG